rnacentral:rRNA from 1 species
UACGGAGGGAGCUAGCGUUGUUCGGAAUUACUGGGCGUAAAGCGCGCGUAGGCGGCUUUGUAAGUUAGAGGUGAAAGCCCGGAGCUCAACUCCGGAACUGCCUUUAAAACUGCAUCGCUUGAAUCCAGGAGAGGUAAGUGGAACUCCUAGUGUAGAGGUGGAAUUCGUAGAUAUUAGGAAGAACACCAGUGGCGAAGGCGGCUUACUGGUCCGGAACUGACGCUGAGGUGCGAAAGCGUGGGGAGCAAACAGG